UACACUUUAAUAUAGGAUGUAUAUAGGUUUUUGAUACUUAAAGAGAUAGUUUAAUUCUAUCAAGUGUAA
rnacentral:tRNA from 1 species